rnacentral:rRNA from 1 species
CCUACGGGAGGCUGCAGUCGAGGAUCUUCGGCAAUGGGCGCAAGCCUGACCGAGCGACGCCGCGUGCGGGAUGAAGGCCUUCGGGUUGUAAACCGCUGUCAGGGGGGAUGAAAUCAUGGUGGGUACUCCCAUCAUGUUGACAGAGCCCCAGAGGAAGCGCGGGCUAAGUUCGUGCCAGCAGCCGCGGUAAUACGAACUGCGCGAACGUUUUUCGGAAUCACUUGCGUUGGAGGCAUCGAAGGUGGGAUCGGAAAUGCCUUGGCUCAACCAAGGCACAGCGCUCUAAACUACUUUGCUUGAGGGAGUCAGGGGUGCACGGAACUUCCGGUGGAGCGGUGAAAUGUGUUGAUAUCGGAAGGAACACCGGCGGCGAAAGCGGUGCACUGGGGCUUAACUGACACUGAGGCACGAAAGCCAGGGGAGCGAACGGGAUUAGAUACCCUAGUAGUC